rnacentral:rRNA from 1 species
GGAGGGAGCGAGCGUUGUUCGGAAUCACUGGGCGUAAAGGGCGCGUAGGCGGCCGAGUAAGUCGUGUGUGAAAGACCGGGGCUCAACUCCGUGUACUGCAUGCGAUACUGCUCGGCUAGAGAAAGGUAGAGGCGAGUGGAAUUCCCGGUGUAGCGGUGGAAUGCGUAGAUAUCGGGAAGAACACCUGUGGCGAAGGCGGCUCGCUGGGCCUUUUCUGACGCUGAAGUGCGAAAGCGUGGGGAGCAAACAGGAUUAGAUACCCUGGUAGUCCACGCCGUAAACGAUGGGCACUAGGCGUUGGGAGGAUGACCCUCUCAGUGCCGUAGCUAACGCGUUAAGUGCCCCCGCCUGGGGAGUACGGCCGCAAGGCUG